rnacentral:rRNA from 1 species
AGAGUUUGAUCAUGGCUCAGGACGAACGCUGGCGGCACGCUUAACACAUGCAAGUCGAACGAGAGAAGAGGAGCUUGCUUUUCUGAUCUAGUGGCGGACGGGUGAGUAACACGUGAGCAAUCUGCCUUUCAGAGGGGGAUACCGAUUGGAAACGAUCGUUAAUACCGCAUAACAUAAUUGAACCGCAUGAUUUGAUUAUCAAAGAUUUAUCGCUGAAAGAUGAGCUCGCGUCUGAUUAGCUAGUUGGUAAGGUAACGGCUUACCAAGGCGACGAUCAGUAGCCGGACUGAGAGGUUGAUCGGCCACAUUGGGACUGAGACACGGCCCAGACUCCUACGGGAGGCAGCAGUGGGGAAUAUUGCACAAUGGAGGAAACUCUGAUGCAGCGAUGCCGCGUGAGGGAAGAAGGUUUUAGGAUUGUAAACCUCUGUCUUCAGGGACGAAAAAAGACGGUACCUGAGGAGGAAGCUCCGGCUAACUACGUGCCAGCAGCCGCGGUAAUACGUAGGGAGCGAGCGUUGUCCGGAAUUACUGGGUGUAAAGGGAGCGUAGGCGGGAUCGCAAGUCAGAUGUGAAAACUAUGGGCUUAACCCAUAAACUGCAUUUGAAACUGUGGUUCUUGAGUGAAGUAGAGGUAAGCGGAAUUCCUAGUGUAGCGGUGAAAUGCGUAGAUAUUAGGAGGAACAUCAGUGGCGAAGGCGGCUUACUGGGCUUUAACUGACGCUGAGGCUCGAAAGCGUGGGGAGCAAACAGGAUUAGAUACCCUGGUAGUCCACGCCGUAAACGAUGAUUACUAGGUGUGGGGGGACUGACCCCUUCCGUGCCGCAGCAAACGCAAUAAGUAAUCCACCUGGGGAGUACGACCGCAGGGUUGAAACUCAAAGGAAUUGACGGGGGCCCGCACAAGCAGUGGAGUAUGUGGAUUAAUUCGAAGCAACGCGAAGAACCUUACCAGGUCUUGACAUCGUAUGCAUAGCUCAGAGAUGAGUGAAAUCUCUUCGGAGACAUAUAGACAGGUGGUGCAUGGUUGUCGUCAGCUCGUGUCGUGAGAUGUUGGGUUAAGUCCCGCAACGAGCGCAACCCUUACUGUUAGUUGCUACGCAAGAGCACUCUAGCAGGACUGCCGUUGACAAAACGGAGGAAGGUGGGGAUGACGUCAAAUCAUCAUGCCCCUUAUGACCUGGGCCUCACACGUACUACAAUGGCUGUCAACAGAGGGAAGCAAAGCCGCGAGGUGGAGCGAACCCCUAAAAGCAGUCUUAGUUCGGAUUGUAGGCUGCAACCCGCCUACAUGAAGUCGGAAUUGCUAGUAAUCGCAGAUCAGCAUGCUGCGGUGAAUACGUUCCCGGGCCUUGUACACACCGCCCGUCACGCCAUGGGAGUCGGUAACACCCGAAGCCUGUAGUCUAACCGCAAGGAGGACGCAGUCGAAGGUGGGAUUGAUGACUGGGGUGAAGUCGUAACAAGGUA